AUUACCUGGGAAUCUUGUUAAAAUACAGAUUAUGUUUAGUUAGCACGAGAUAGAUCCCAAAAUUCUGUAUUUCUAGCAAGGUCCCAAGUGAUACUGA
rfam:Papio anubis isolate 1X1155 chromosome 4, whole genome shotgun sequence.